GACGAACGCUGGCGGCGUGCUUAACACAUGCAAGUCGAACGGAAAGGCCCUGCUUUUGUGGGGUGCUCGAGUGGCGAACGGGUGUGUAACACGUGAGUAUACUGCCCUUGUCUUUGGGAUAUCUUCAGGAAACUGGGGCUAAUACCGGAUAGGAGCUCCUGCUGCAUGGUGGGGGUUGGAAAGUUUCGGCGGUUGGGGAUGGACUCGCGGCUUAUCAGCUUGUUGGGGGGGUAGGGGCUUACAAAGGCUUUGACGGGUAGCCGGCCUGAGAGGGUGACCGGGGACAUUAGGACUGAGAUACGGCGCAGACUCCAACGGGAGGCAGCGGUGGAGAAUAUGGCACAGUGGGGGGAAGCCUGAGGCAGCAACGCCGCGUGCGGGAUGACCGCCUACGGGUGAUAAACCGCUGUCGCCUGUGACGAAGCGGGAGUGACGGUAAUGGGUAAAGAAGCACCGGCUAACUACGUG
rnacentral:rRNA from 1 species